UACGAAGGGGGCGAGCGUUGUUCGGAAUUACUGGCGUAAAGGGCGCGUAGGCGGCCGAUCAAGUCAGAUGUGAAAUCCCCAGGCUUAACCUGGGAACUGCGUCGGAUACUGGAUGGCUUGAAUUCGGGAGAGGGAUGCAGAAUUCCAGGUGUAGCGGUGAAAUGCGUAGAUAUCUGGAGGAAUACCGGUGGCGAAGGCGGCAUCCUGGACCGACAUUGACGCUGAGGAGCGAAAGCUAGGGGAGCAAACGGG
rnacentral:rRNA from 1 species